rnacentral:rRNA from 1 species
GACGAACGCUGGCGGCGUGCUUAACACAUGCAAGUCGAACGGAAAGGCCCUGCUUUUGUGGGGUGCUCGAGUGGCGAACGGGUGAGUAACACGUGAGUAACCUGCCCUUGACUUUGGGAUAACUUCAGGAAACUGGGGCUAAUACCGGAUAGGAGCUCCUGCUGCAUGGUGUGGGUUGGAAAGUUUCGGCGGUUGGGGAUGGACUCGCGGCUUAUCAGCUUGUUGGUGGGGUAGUGGCUUACCAAGGCUUUGACGGGUAGCCGGCCUGAGAGGGUGACCGGCCACAUUGGGACUGAGAUACGGCCCAGAAUCCUACGGGAGGCAGCAGUGGGGAAUAUUGCACAAUGGGCGGAAGCCUGAUGCAGCAACGCCGCGUGCGGGAUGACGGCCUUCGGGUUGUAAACCGCUUUCGCAUGUGACGAAGCGUGAGUGACGGUAAUGGGUAAAGAAGCACCGGCUAACUACGUG